rnacentral:rRNA from 1 species
AGACCCGAAACCCGGUGAUCUAGCCAUGGGCAGGUUGAAGGUUGGGUAACACUAACUGGAGGACCGAACCGACUAAUGUUGAAAAAUUAGCGGAUGACCUGUGGCUGGGGGUGAAAGGCCAAUCAAACCGGGAGAUAGCUGGUUCUCCCCGAAAGCUAUUUAGGUAGCGCCUCGUGAAUUCAUCUCCGGGGGUAGAGCACUGUUUCGGCUAGGGGGCCAUCCCGGCUUACCAACCCGAUGCAAACUGCGAAUACCGGAGAAUGUUAUCACGGGAGACACACGGCGGGUGCUAACGUCCGUCGUGAAGAGGGAAACAACCCAGACCGCCAGCUAAGGUCCCAAAGUCAUGGUUAAGUGGGAAACGAUGUGGGAAGGCCCAGACAGCCAGGAUGUUGGCUUAGAAGCAGCCAUCAUUUAAAGAAAGCGUAAUAGCUCACUGGUCGAGUCGGCCUGCGCGGAAGAUGUAACGGGGCUAAACCAUGCACCGAAGCUGCGGCAGCGACGCUGAUGCGUUGUUGGGUAGGGGAGCGUUCUGUAAGCCUGUGAAGGUGGCCUGUGAGGGUUGCUGGAGGUAUCAGAAGUGCGAAUGCUGACAUAAGUAACGAUAAAGCGGGUGAAAAGCCCGCUCGCCGGAAGACCAAGGGUUCCUGUCCAACGUUAAUCGGGGCAGGGUGAGUCGACCCCUAAGGCGAGGCCGAAAGGCGUAGUCGAUGGGAAACGGGUUAAUAUUCCCGUACUUGGUGUUACUGCGAAGGGGGGACGGAGAAGGCUAUGUUGGCCGGGCGACGGUUGUCCCGGUUUAAGCGUGUAGGUGUGUGUUCCAGGUAAAUCCGGUUCACUUUAACACUGAGGCGUGAUGACGAGGCACUACGGUGCUGAAGCAACAAAUGCCCUGCUUCCAGGAAAAGCCUCUAAGCAUCAGGUAACAUCAAAUCGUACCCCAAACCGACACAGGUGGUCAGGUAGAGAAUACCAAGGCGCUUGAGAGAACUCGGGUGAAGGAACUAGGCAAAAUGGUGCCGUAACUUCGGGAGAAGGCACGCUGACACGUAGGUGAAGUGAUUUACUCAUGGAGCUGAAGUCAGUCGAAGAUACCAGCUGGCUGCAACUGUUUAUUAAAAACACAGCACUGUGCAAACACGAAAGUGGACGUAUACGGUGUGACGCCUGCCCGGUGCCGGAAGGUUAAUUGAUGGGGUCAGCGCAAGCGAAGCUCCUGAUCGAAGCCCCGGUAAACGGCGGCCGUAACUAUAACGGUCCUAAGGUAGCGAAAUUCCUUGUCGGGUAAGUUCCGACCUGCACGAAUGGCGUAAUGAUGGCCAGGCUGUCUCCACCCGAGACUCAGUGAAAUUGAACUCGCUGUGAAGAUGCAGUGUACCCGCGGCAAGACGGAAAGACCCCGUGAACCUUUACUAUAGCUUGACACUGAACAUUGAGCCUUGAUGUGUAGGAUAGGUGGGAGGCUUUGAAGUGUGGACGCCAGUCUGCAUGGAGCCGGCCUUGAAAUACCACCCUUUAAUGUUUGAUGUUCUAACGUGGACCCGUGAUCCGGGUUGCGGACAGUGUCUGGUGGGUAGUUUGACUGGGGCGGUCUCCUCCUAAAGAGUAACGGAGGAGCACGAAGGUUGGCUAAUCCUGGUCGGACAUCAGGAGGUUAGUGCAAUGGCAUAAGCCAGCUUGACUGCGAGCGUGACGGCGCGAGCAGGUGCGAAAGCAGGUCAUAGUGAUCCGGUGGUUCUGAAUGGAAGGGCCAUCGCUCAACGGAUAAAAGGUACUCCGGGGAUAACAGGCUGAUACCGCCCAAGAGUUCAUAUCGACGGCGGUGUUUGGCACCUCGAUGUCGGCUCAUCACAUCCUGGGGCUGAAGUAGGUCCCAAGGGUAUGGCUGUUCGCCAUUUAAAGUGGUACGCGAGCUGGGUUUAGAACGUCGUGAGACAGUUCGGUCCCUAUCUGCCGUGGGCGCUGGAGAACUGAGGGGGGCUGCUCCUAGUACGAGAGGACCGGAGUGGACGCAUCACUGGUGUUCGGGUUGUCAUGCCAAUGGCACUGCCCGGUAGCUAAAUGCGGAAGAGAUAAGUGCUGAAAGCAUCUAAGCACGAAACUUGCCCCGAGAUGAGUUCUCCCUGAGACUUUAGGUCUCCUGAAGGAACGUUGAAGACGACGACGUUGAUAGGCCGGGUGUGUAAGCGCAGCGAUGCGUUGAGCUAACCGGUACUAAUGAACCGUGAGGCUUAACCUU